rnacentral:piRNA from 1 species
UGGUCGCUCAAAACUUAUGCG